rnacentral:rRNA from 1 species
AUGGUCAGAAAAGUUGGACGGCGUCGGAGCAACUUGCUUGAAAGGUCUAAAAGACUUGGGAGGUGUCAUCCUGUACAUGUAUACUUCGAAAUCUGUAUAUAUGUUCCUCAGUACAUUAUCCCUCUGUUUAAGCACGUGUUUACUUUUUUAACAAGCUGUAAUUCUCUCUGUAUUAGAAUCCAGUGUGGGUCAUGGAUCUCCUUUCAUGUACAUAUAUUUUAUUCACUUGAAGUUAGCAAAUUCAGCCCAUCACGGAGCUGCAGUCUCCUGUUUAGCAUUCAGUUUUUAUGUCUUCUUAUUAAGAUGUGUACUGAUAUGUUAAUCUUUCAACUCAUCGUAACGUUGGAUCAGCAUGCAUGUUGGAGCAGUGAUGAUUUAAAAGUGUUGAAUGCUUAG